GAUGACGAAAGGCACAUACCACGCCGAUGGAGAAUACACGUUUUCCCUCCGGAUCUGGGCUAAUUUGGACAGAAGAUUAUCAAGAGUAGGCUUCUGCAUGGGUUUGCCUGGACAGUCUAGGAUAUUUAAAAUGUGAUUUUACCAGCCAAUAUGGAAUGGAAUGCUGUCUGCAAAUGCCAUCCGUGCAUCGGGGUUCUCCAGAGUGCAGGAGGCCACAGUGUGCAUUUAACAGCACUGCACCAAGGGGAGAAAGCUGACAAGGAAGCGUGGAGAGAGCACAGUCCUCUCCAGUCAGAGGAGCCAGUGCAAGGAGCAGUCCCUGAAACUGGAAACCAGGGAUGGACAGUGCCGUGUGCUGAGGGCUGCCUUAUAGGAACUGAGACCUGCAGGAGGUGGAGGGACUCAUCCAGCUGACGGGGAGGGAGCCAGGGGAAUAAAUACGCUGAUUUCAUGCUCCCUCUCCUCCUACUGGCCAACCAGAAGCUGCAGGGCAAGGGAGCCAGUUGAUAUCUACAUAAGUCAGCCUCCUGGGACACAGAGCAGGGAGGGAGGCUGGAAGGUGGGUCUGAGGGGGCAAUGGAAUGUAUCUAGAACAGGGUUUAACAGUUUGAUAUCAGGCUCAAAGCCACACUUAAUCUUAGCAUUAUGCUGGGCAUG